UAGGGAACCUUCCACAAUGGACGAAAGUCUGAUGGAGCAACGCCGCGUGAGUGAAGAAGGGUUUCGGCUCGUAAAACUCUGUUGUUAAAGAAGAACAUAUCUGAGAGUAACUGUUCAGGUAUUGACGGUAUUUAACCAGAAAGCCACGGCUAACUACGUGCCAC
rnacentral:rRNA from 1 species